GAACUUAGCAGAGAUGCUUUGGUGCCUUCGGNAACUCUGAGACAGGUGCUGCAUGGCUGUCGUCAGCUCGUGUUGUGAAAUGUUGGGUUAAGUCCCGCAACGAGCGCAACCCUUAUCCUUUGUUGCCAGCGGUUCGGCCGGGAACUCAAAGGAGACUGCCGGUGAUAAACCGGAGGAAGGUGGGGAUGACGUCAAGUCAUCAUGGCCCUUACGGCCAGGGCUACACACGUGCUACAAUGGCGCAUACAAAGAGAAGCGACCUCGCGAGAGCAAGCGGACCUCAUAAAGUGCGUCGUAGUCCGGAUUGGAGUCUGCAACUCGACUCCAUGAAGUCGGAAUCGCUAGUAAUCGUAGAUCAGAAUGCUACGGUGAAUACGUUCCCGGGCCUUGUACACACCGCCCGUCACACCAUGGGAGUGGGUUGCAAAAGAAGUAGGUAGCUUAACCUUCGGGAGGGCGCUUACCACUUUGUGAUUCAUGACUGGGGUGAAGUCGUAACAAGGUACCCGUA
rnacentral:rRNA from 1 species